CAUUACAGUGUUUCUCUGCCCUCACGGGUAGAAACGCCCACCCUUGUGUAUUAUAUCUUGUUGCUUUGGCAGGCCGCCCUCGGGCAACCGGCUCUGGCUGGAUCGCGCCUGCCAGAGGACCCCAAACUCUGAAUGUUAGUGUCGUCUGAGUACUAUCUAAUAGUUAAAACUUUCAACAACGGAUCUCUUGGUUCUGGCAUCGAUGAAGAACGCAGCGAAAUGCGAUAAGUAAUGUGAAUUGCAGAAUUCAGUGAAUCAUCGAAUCUUUGAACGCACAUUGCGCCCCGUGGUAUUCCGCGGGGCAUGCCUGUUCGAGCGUCAUUUCAACCAAUCCAGCUUGCUGGGUCUUGGGCUCUCGCCUCUGGGCGGGCCUUAAAAUUAGUGGCGGCGCCACCCGGCUCUAAGCGUAGUAAUUCUUCUCGCUACAGAGUCCCGGGUGGAAGCUUGCCAGCAACCCUCAAUUUAUCAGGUUGACCUCGGAUCAGGUAGGGAUACCCGCUGAACUUAAGCAUAUC
rnacentral:rRNA from 1 species